GUGCAGCAGGCGCGAAAACUCCGCAAUGCGCGAAAGCGUGACGGGGUCACCCCGAGUGCCGUCCGCUGAGGAUGGCUUUUGCCUGGUCUAACCAGCCGGGUGAAUAAGGGGGGGGCAAGUCUGGUGUCAGCCGCCGCGGUAAUACCAGCUCCCCGAGUGGUCGGGGCGAUUAUUGGGUCUAAAGCGUCCGUAGCCGGCCGAGAAAGUUCUCCGUUAAAUCCAACGAUCCAAUCGUUGGGCUGCGGGGAAUACUUCUCGGCUAGGGGGCGGGGGAGGCCGACGGUAGUCCCAGGGUAGGGGCGAAAUCCUAUAAUCCUGGGAGGACCACCAGUGGCGAAGGCGGUCGGCCAAAACGCGCCCGACGGUGAGGGGCGAAAGCUGGGGGAGCGAACGGGAUUAGAUACCCGGGUAGUCC
rnacentral:rRNA from 1 species